UGGAGUUUGUAGCGGAGUCAGAACACUUAGGAUUUAUUUAUUUUCAAAUAUGCGCUUGAAGAAACUGAGAAAGUACCUGGCCUAGUCCUGAUCAUCCGCUAUUUUCAGGAGCCCAAAGAGAUUGAGCCACUAGCUCAGCUCCACAUUAUACCCUUUCGGGAGACUAGGAAAGGUGGUCACUCACUCGGUGUAUAACGAGGUGGACGCUUCUACACUCUCUUGACAGACCCCUGCAGACUACAGCAUGGCUGGCGUUCCCGUACCGGGUUAGGGUCUCCAAAACCUAUCGUUUCUUGCCCUUUUGGCUAAGAUCAAGUGCAGAGUCUCCAAAACCUAGAGCUACGAAGUCUCCCCUGCCCCAAGCUACUGCUGAGACAGCUUCAGAUUGCCACAGCCCUGUCUCUCACCCCGACCUCCUUCCUUGCCCAAGAAGAGGAGGAGAAAGGAAACUAACACUUACUGAACGCUUACUACACCUCAGGUAUUGGACCCAGGGCCCCCAACGUCCUAGAUAAGCACUCUACUACUGAGCUACGUAAUAUCCCCAGCUUGGGACGGGGUCUUGCUGAGUUCCCCAGGCUGGCUUUGAACUUGUGAUCCUCUUACCCCAGGCUCCUGAGUAGCUGCGGUUCCAGGCAUGGGCCAACUCCUGCUGGCUCAAUUUCUGCCCUGUCUCCUCAUGUUUGUCCCUAGACAGUGAAGUCAGCAGAAAAGGUACCUGGUUUCACAUUCCUAGAACUCUGAGUGGCCCAGUUAGAAGAAACUUGGAUAGUCAUUUUGUUCACCCUCUUUCCAGUUUUUGGAUGGGGAAACUGCGGUACCAAAAGCAGGAAGGAUUUACCGCAGGGGGACUAGCUAAGGCUGAAAACCAUGUGGGGGCAGGGCCUCCUGGGGGCUGGCUAGAGCUCUACCUGCCUUACGCACUUCCCCAAGUUUUCUAAGGAAACUCUGAGAUCUCUUUUCCUCACUCCUUUCUUCUGUCUGGGCUGCAAAGAGCAAUUAGCAAAUUCGUGCACUGUGAAUCACUCCUCUGUUGACACUUCCAUUCCCAAAGCUGACGAUUCCCAUAUUUGCCCAGUGCAGAUGAGGCUGACUUGGGAGUGUAGGAAGCCGAGAGUGAGCGAAGGUACAUCCAGGAGGGUCCGGCAUUCCCAACAAGCCCAGCUUUUUUCAUUGUCUCUGUGAAUGGAGGGGGAUCUUGGCUGGGUCUAUCCGGAAUAAAACUAGCUUCUUGAUGUUA